rnacentral:RNase_P_RNA from 1 species
CCAGAGGGCUGGGCGGCCGCGGCGGGGACUUGUCUCCGGCGAGGAAAGUCCGGGCUCCACGGAAUAACGGUGCCGGGUAACGCCCGGCCGGAGAGUUCGCUCUUCGAGGGAUAGUGCCACAGAAAGGAUUCCGCCCGGCUUCGGACGGGUAAGGUCGAAAGGGUGCGGCAAGAGCGCACCGCGCGCCUGGCAACAGGGGCGGCACGGUAAACCCCACCGGGUGCAAGACCGAAUAGGGGCGCCGCAUGAGCCUGUUCCGGCUCGGCGCCCGGGUUGGUCGCUUGAGGGGCAGGGCAACCUGCCUCCUAGAGGAAUGGUCGCCCAUCCGCGAAGGCGGUGGACAGAACCCGGCUUACAGGCCCUCUGGCAUA